rnacentral:rRNA from 1 species
AUUGAACGCUGGCGGCAGGCCUAACACAUGCAAGUCGAGCGGAUGAAGGGAGCUUUCUCCUGGAUUCAGCGGCGGACGGGUGAGUAAUGCCUAGGAAUCUGACUGGUAGUGGGGGAUAACGUCAGGACACGGGCGCUGAUACCGCAUACGUCCUGAGGGAGAAAGUGGGGGAUCUUCGGACCUCACGCUAUCAGAUGAGCCUAGGUCGGAUUAGCUAGUUGGUGGGGUAAAGGCCUACCAAGGCGACGAUCCGUAACUGAUCUGAGAGGAUGAUCAGCCACACUGGAACUGAGACACGGUCCAGACUCCUACGGGAGGCAGCAGUGGGGAAUAUUGGACAAAGGGCGAAAGCCUGAUCCAGCCAUGCCGCGUGUGUGAAGAAGGUCUUCGGAUUGUAAAGCACUUUAAGUUGGGAGGAAGGGCAGUAAGUUAAUACCUUGCUGUUUUGACGGUACCAACAGAAUAAGCACCGGCUAACUUCGUG